AAGACCAUGCACUUUUGGAGCGGCCGAUGUCUGAUUAGCUAGUUGGUGGGGUAAUGGCCUACCAAAGCUUCGAUCAGUAGCUGGUCUGAGAGGACGGCCAGCCACACUGGGACUGAGACACGGCCCAGACUCCUACGGGAGGCAGCAGUGGGGAAUUUUGGACAAUGGGCGCAAGCCUGAUCCAGCCAUGCCGCGUGAGUGAAGAAGGCCUUCGGGUUGUAAAGCUCUUUCAGCCGGGAAGAAAAGGUUGCGAUUAAUAAUCGCAAUUUAUGACGGUACCGGAAGAAGAAGCACCGGCUAACUACGUGCCAGCAGCCGCGGUAAUACGUAGGGUGCGAGCGUUAAUCGGAAUUACUGGGCGUAAAGGGUGCGCAGGCGGUUUUGUAAGUCAGAUGUGAAAUCCCCGGGCUUAACCUGGGAACU
rnacentral:rRNA from 1 species